CGAGCGCAACCCCUAUUGUUAGUUGCCAUCAUUCAGUUGGGCACUCUAGCGAGACUGCCGGUAAUAAACCGGAGGAAGGUGGGGAGUGACGUCAAAUCAUCAUGCCCCUUAUGACCUGGGCUACACACGUGCUACAAUGGUUGGUACAACGAGUUGCGAGUCGGUGACGGCGAGCUAAUCUCUUAAAGCCAAUCUCAGUUCGGAUUGUAGGCUGCAACUCGCCUACAUGAAGUCGGAAUCGCUAGUAAUCGCGGAUCAGCACGCCGCGGUGAAUACGUUCCCGGGCCUU
rnacentral:rRNA from 1 species